rnacentral:tRNA from 1 species
GGGGAUUUGGCUCAAUGGUAGAGUGCUUGCCUAGGAAGCGCAAGGUCCUGGGUUCGAUCCCCAGCCCCG